AGCAAAGAAAUACAACAGAAUCAAUGAAAAAUUACACACGAAGACUGACAGGCAACUAAUUUACAAAAGAAGACAUACUGUGCAAACACAAAACAAGAAAGAGAAUAUCCUGAUCUUCAGUGUAAACUUUUCGGGCAUCUUCUCAAAGUGGAUAGCACCUCUGGACCUGUGGAGUGGCAUCAGCUUUGGCAAGUGUCUUGUCAAAGACAAUGUUCUCAGUUUCCGGUGUCACGUUGCUGUCAGUGACGUGAUCAUCUCUGAGAGAAUUUGUUACUGGCAACUAGUCCACCAAUGCUGUAUGGAACAUCUGCUGGGUCACAGUCUGAAGACUUUUUCUUUAGCUACCAAUAAUGGAAGACAUGACAAGUCAUCAACAUUCUGUGGUGUCUGGUAUUCUUGAAAUCUAUGUCAUAAGAGUGUGCUCCUAGGAGCAAUGUCCAAUGUUGUAACUGGGUAGCAGUCAUCUCUGUAUUUCUCUUCCUGGGAUUGAAAAUCAACACAAUGUGCUGGUGAUCUGUCACUAGCAUAAACUUUUGUCUGCAGAGGAAGUGGUGGAGCUUCGUUAUUCCCCAUACUUGACUAACAGCCUCUCGGUCCUUAGUUGUGUUUUGCAUUCGUCAGUGAUCUUGAAGCAAACACAAUCGGUUGGUCAGAUCUAUCUUUCAUAAUGUAUGACAGAAUGGCCCCAAUGCCAUAAGGGGACAUAUCACACACCUGUCUGAUGGGCAGGGAUGGAUCAUAUUGAGUGAGAAGUUCAUCGGAUGUUAUUAGUCUCUUUGCUUCCCUAAAUGCUCUUUCACACUUUUCUGACCAAUGGGAGCAGCACUGUAGCAGUGUUUGGGAAAAACCAGUGGUAGUAGUUAACAAAGCCCAAGUAUGACCUGAGUUGUGACACAUUUUCCAGUUUGGGUGCCUGCAGCACUGCCUCAAUCUUCUCUUGUGACUUUUGUAAGCCAUACUUGUCAAUGUCAUGUGCACAAUAUGAAAUUCCAGUCUUGAAAAGCUCUCAUUUCUUUUUCAUUACUCAUUCAAGGUUGUAGUGCUGCUCUUCAUCAUUCUUGUCUGUCACGAUGAUAUCAUCAAGGUAACACUGUAUUCCAGAGAUGCCUUGGAGCAUCUGGUCCAUUGCUCUUUGCCAAAUUGCUGGAGCUGAUGCGACGCCAAAGAUGAGAUGAUUAUACUGGAACAGUCACUUGUAAAUGUUGACUGUGAGGAACUUCCUGCUUGACUCCUCAAUCUCCAUUUGGAGAUAGGCUUGUGACGUCAAUCUUUGAAAACCUCUCUCCGCCUGCCAAUGGUGCAAUAAUGUCUUCUAUUCAUGAAAGGAGAUUCUGCACAGUUCACUGCACUAACACUGAUGCUGAAUUUCAAAUCCCCACAUAUGCAAACAGCUCCGGCCUUCCCUUUCUUGAUCACUGGGACAAUAGGUUUGGCCCAAUUGCUCCACACAAACUUUUAGAGAAUUCCAGAUGCCUCCCAGCUCUGGAGUUCAGUAUCCACUUUAGGGCAUAGAGCGUAAGGUAUUGGAUGCACUUUAUGGAAUCUUGGUGUUACUGCUUCAUCCAGUUCAGUUCUGUCCUUCAUGCCUUUGAGUUUACCAAUGCCGUUCUCAAACACCAUCUCGUUAGCAUUAAGCAGUUGUGCCAGUCUCUAGUUAGUGUUACCAUUUGGGCUGCUGUUGCCUGUUGAUGUCACACUGAGAGCUUUGGUUGAGUGCCAGUCCAGUUGGAUUUUUCUGAAUCAUUCAGGUCCGAAAAGCGCUGGCCCUCCACUUUUCAGUACACAAAGCUCUAACUGCUGUGUUCGGUCUCCCAAUGUCACAUUUACUUUUAGUUUGACUUUGGGGGACACUUUUUUACCUGUGUAGGUCUUUAACAUCACUGAGAUCUUCAUUAAUGGUAUCUUGGAAAACACUCUGUUGUAGUCAGCCUCUGGAAUUACAGACAAUGCUGACCCUGUAUCCAGCUCCAUUUUCCGUUUUACACCAGCCACAUCUUUUGUGAUCCAGGAGAUUUUGUGAUCUGCUUCAGUAAUACUAUGCAGUUCUAAGCAUGACAGUUCACCUUUGUCAGACACUACAUUGUCUGAUUCUGUUUUACAUUCGGUCACCUUAUGCAUUUGCUUAGUAUUGUGUUUGAGGCUUUUCAUUCGGUUGUGCUUUUUGUCUGCCUUGCAUAUUCUCUCUAUGUGACCUUGUCUGUGACAUUUUCUGCAAACCUUUUCUUUGAACCAACAGUUGUUUGCAUCAUGAGAGGAUUUGCCACAUCAAUAACAUGUUUGGCUUUUUGCAUCAUUCAGGGAUAUUUUGUGCAUUUCACAUUCUAACUUCCUUUUCUUUAUUUCUGCUACAUCUUUUGCUGCAGUCCCUAAUGAUAUUGCAAUGGUCAAUGCCCGUUCUAAGGUUAAGUCUCUUUCUGACAGUAGCCUCUUCUGAAUGUUUUGGCUAUGCCACAAUACCAGCCUGUCCCUUAAUGCAUCAGAAAGUCAAUUUCUGAAGUCAUAGUACCGGGAAGCUUUGCACAGUUCUGCAAUGUAUUCAGAAAUGCUUUAAUCCUUUGACUGCUUCCUUUUGUAAAAUCUAUAUCUCUCAGCUAUUGCCGCCAGUUUAGAGCUCACGAGACUUUGUAAAAUUGUAACAAUUUCAUCGAACAUCUUAAUCGCUGGCUUUUCCCAGGUUACUAAGUUGCGUAAGAGACUGUACGUCCUAGGACCCAUCAAGCUAAGCAUGGGGGCUUUCUGCUGUUCCUCCAUGUUGUUUAUUUUACAAUACAGCUCCACCCUCUUGACUUAGGACUUCCAGCCUACAUUAGUGCAAUCAAAUUCAUCAAUUUUCCUGACUGAAGCCAUCGCCAUGUUACCUUCAACUUUCCUAAUUGCAUCUUUCAUUGUGUGCUUUGCAGGCAGUUACUCAAGCAUCUGUGAUGGCCUUUGUGCUAUUUAACUCUCGCUAUUUCAUCCUGUAACUGUCGGCUCAGUUGGUGGUAUUUUCUGAUAUUCAGGUUCAUACUCAUCGUUAAUUUGUUAUGUCUUUGCAACUACAUAUCAAUUAAAUAAACGCACACACACAGGAGGUGGCUUUAAAUAGUGUAUUCACACUGCAGUGAGAGACAGGACCAGAUCAAUCUGCAUGCAUAGACAAUAGAUCAAUACAUAGUGCUAAGGGGAGGCAUUGCUCUGAAAAAAAUAGAUCCAUACAUUACAAUACUAGGAGGCAUUUUUGGCUCAUCAAAUAAAUAUAAUUUCUACUAAUUCUUUAUGUAACAUAUUAAUUCCCACAUUACCACAUGAUAGACCAACUAGGUUGAGAGCAAACUCUAAUCAUCACCUCUGUACAGCAACACUGUGGUGAACAACACACACAAAAUGCUGGUGGAACACAGCAGGCCAGGCAGCAUCUAUAAGGAGAAGCACUGUCGAUGUUUCGGGCCGAGACCCUUCGUCAGGACUCUGUGAUGACAUUGAACACUUUGCACUACAAUAAAUGUUGAUAUUUUUCUGUCUAAUUUGUAUUUGAUUUGUUUCUAUUGUGAAUGCUGUUCAUGUUCUAUAUUCCAUUUGAUGGUGCUGCAGGUGAG